GGUCAUUAACUGUGAAAGGCUUGUCAGAGGGUUUUACUCAUCUGGAGAGAGCCUUGGCUUCUUUUGAGGCAGAAGACCCUAACGUUUCUAGGUUUGACAAAAUCAAGAGAGGAAUCAUGGAUUUGGUGACUUUCUACAAGGAGACCCUGAAGGAGAAGCAGACGAAGAGAAGUGUGCAGUCCAGGCUUGACACUUUCUUUCACAAGUCUCCAGUACCACCACCUCCCACUCCUAGUCCUGGUAAGGAAUUCUGAACUGUUUUACUAAUUUAUGUGUUUACAUAGUGUACAUAUUAAAAUGUGUUAAUUUUUUAAUGUAACAACUAAAUGUAAGAGUAAAUUGUAACUUCAUUAAUUUUCAUCAUUUGUAAUUUUAUUGCAGAAGUGGUGACAGUUCCAGAUCCCCCUGUACUACCUGUGACAGUUCCAGAUCUCCCUGUACUACCUGUGACAGUUCCAGAUCCCCCUGUACCUGGACCCUCUGUAUCAGCCCGCCCACCUGUACAAUCAGACCCCUUUGAUAGUGACAGUGACCCAGAUGACCCUGAGCCUUUCCAUGGUUUUGAUGCCUCGCCCUAUACAUCAGAUGUAGAUGUUCCCUCAUCAGUUGAUACGAGUAUCACCUCUCCAGAGCCCAAAUCAGUUGAUACGAGUAGUAUCACCUCUCCCAUUCCUUCAGACUCCCAAGCACCUGCCCAUCCCACUCCAUAGCCCAGCCACCCACUCUCAUGUACCAUAUGGCCAUCCC